ACAAGAACCUACCUUUAGGAAGGGGAUAACAAUUGGAAACGAUUGCUAAUACCCUAUAUGCUUCCGAGUGAAAUAGUUUUUUGCCUAAAGAGGGGCUUGUGCCUGAUUAGCUAGUUGGUUAGGUAAUGGCUAACCAAGGCGACGAUCAGUAGCUGGCUUGAGAGGGCGACCAGCCACACUGGGACUGAGACACGGCCCAGACUCCUACGGGAGGCAGCAGUGAGGAAUUUUCCGCAAUGAGCGAAAGCUUGACGGAGCAAUACCGCGUGGAGGACGA
rnacentral:rRNA from 1 species